UAUAGUGGCGCACUAUGUAACUCCACAUAAGGAGUCCCUCUCUAGAAUGUUGGCCUACUUAUAAUAAUGUAACACUAGUAUACAUUUUUAUUGUAAAUAAUAUAUUUAAAUAAAAUAAAAUUAUGAUGUGAAUUUAAUUUUAGCCAAACUCAAACUCAAGUUGGCUUUGAUCCUCGACAGCUCGACUCCUCAGCCUCACCCCUCACAAAGUCACACUCCAAUCGUCGUCUUCAUACUCCAAUCUUCAUCUCUUAUUGACUCUCUCAAUCGCUCAUCAGUCAUCUCUCAAUCUCUACGACCGAAAUGCAAAAAAGAUUGGAUAACUUUGUAAUUAAAACACCUAAACCUCGUUUCUCCCUCGUCUCUCCUGAUCUCUCCCUAUCUCUCUCUGCAAACUCAAGUCAGUAGUAUUUUUAAGGUACGUGGUUGUGUAGUUUUUGGACAAAGGCAGGUAUUUUGUGUGUGUUUUUUGGGAAUGCUGUGUGUUUUUGAGAUGGGGUUUCUUGAUUUCUUGUGGGAUAUUUGUCAUUAGAUUCCGUUUAAGAACAUGUUUUUUGUUUUAAAUUUUGGAUUUCAAAUAUCAUGAUUUCAUGUGUCAUUUCAAAUUCUAAAUUUUACAUUAGUGUUUGAAUGUUGUGGAUUUUAAAUGAAAUUUAAAUCUAACUUUUUGUGUAUCUUACUCAUGGAUAUAUUUUGGGUGGUCAUCGUCCGCUUCGCGGUUGUGUGCGGGAGAGAUAGCAUAGCGGUGGUGGCUGAAAUGGUUGAGGGUUGUGGCGACGGCAGUUCAACGAUCAGUAUGAGAUCCGGUUUCAGAAAGGAAUGCGUUAAUUGUGCCUUAAUUGAGAGCGUUUAUUGUGCCUCUUAAUUGAAGGCGUUUAUUGUGCCUCCUAAUUGAAGACGUUAACUGUGCCUUAUUUGGGGGCGUUAAUUGUGUCUUAAUUGAGGGCGUUAAUAUCUUAUUAAAUGUGAUUUAAUUAAGAGUUUAAUUGUCUCAAUUAUGAGUUAUCAUAAUUGUGUGAAUAUUUUGAUCAGCACAUGCAUAUACACGUGAUUUUAUUAAUAAUUAAUUAUUGGAUAUGAGACAACCCGGGUCAAAUCCCAAGCCUUUUCUGAAAAUCGGGUCAAGUCCCGAAUUCCGAAUCCGAAAAUAAGCCGAAAUACACUGGCCUAAUUACAGCAACUUGGGUAAUCCACAAGCCCACCACAGACCCCCAAAAGAUCAUGAUUUGUUGGUGCAAUUGGUAGUAGUACUUAUGCUUAUAAACUAAACUAAAGUCCACACACUUCAUGAUGUGGGAUUGGGGUGUUACAAACUCCCCCACUUAAAAAUUCCUGACGUCCUCGUCAGGCCGAAACGGAUAGCCCAUAG
rnacentral:lncRNA from 1 species